rnacentral:misc_RNA from 1 species
GAUGAAGAACGUAGCGAAAUGCGAUAAGUAGUGUGAAUUGCAGAAUUCAGUGAAUCAUCGAAUCUUUGAACGCACAUUGCGCCCCUUGGUAUUCCAUGGGGCAUGCCUGUUCGAGCGUCAGUUGUACCUUCAAGCUUUGCUUGGUGUUGGGUGUUUGUCUCGCCUUUGCGUGUAGACUCGCCUUAAAAUAAUUGGCAGCCGGCGUAUUGAUUUCGGAGCGCAGUACAUCUCGCGCUUUGCACUCAUAACGACAGCGUCCAAAAGUACAUUUUACACUCUUGACCUCGGAUCAGGUAGGGAUACCCGCUGAACUUAAGCAUAUCAAUAAGCGGAGGA